rnacentral:rRNA from 1 species
GACGAACGCUGGCGGCGUGCUUAACACAUGCAAGUCGAACGCUGAAGCUCAGCUUUUGUUGGGUGGAUGAGUGGCGAACGGGUGAGUAACACGUGAGUAACCUGCCUCCUUCUUUGGGAUAACGCCCGGAAACGGGUGCUAAUACUGGAUAUUCACUGGUCUUCGCAUGGGGGUUGGUGGAAAGGGUUUUUCUGGUGGGGGCUGGGCUCGCGGCCUAUCAGCUUGUUGGUGGGGUGAUGGCCUACCAAGGCUUUGACGGGUGGCCGGCCUGAGAGGGUGACCGGUCACAUUGGGACGGAGAGACGGCCCAGACUCCUACGGGAGGCAGCAGUGGGGAAUAUGGCACAAUGGGCGCAAGCCUGAUGCAGCGACGCCGCGUGAGGGAUGGAGGCCUUCGGGUUGUGAACCUCUUUCGCUCAUGGUCAAGCCGCAACAAUGGUUGUGGUGAGGGUAGUGGGUAAAGAAGCGCCGGCUAACUACGUG